UGGGGAAUUUUGGACAAUGGGCGCAAGCCUGAUCCAGCAAUGCCGCGUGCAGGAUGAAGGCCUUCGGGUUGUAAACUGCUUUUGUACGGAACGAAAAGGCUCUGGCUAAUACCUGGGGCACAUGACGGUACCGUAAGAAUAAGCACCGGCUAACUACGUGCCAGCAGCCGCGGUAAUACGUAGGGUGCGAGCGUUAAUCGGAAUUACUGGGCGUAAAGCGUGCGCAGGCGGUUUUGUAAGACAGAGGUGAAAUCCCCGGGCUCAACCUGGGAACUGCCUUUGUGACUGCAAGGCUGGAGUGCGGCAGAGGGGGAUGGAAUUCCGCGUGUAGCAGUGAAAUGCGUAGAUAUGCGGAGGAACACCGAUGGCGAAGGCAAUCCCCUGGGCCUGCACUGACGCUCAUGCACGAAAGCGUGGGGAGCAAACAGGAUUAGGAUACCCUGGUAGUCCACGCCCUAAACGAUGUCAACUGGCUUGUUGGGUCUUAAUUGACUCAGUAACGAAGCUAACGCGUGAAGUUGACCGCCUGGGGAGU
rnacentral:rRNA from 1 species